rnacentral:rRNA from 1 species
AGUGAACGCUGGCGGUAGGCCUAACACACGCAAGUCGAACGGCAGCACAGUAAGAGCUUGCUCUUACGGGUGGCGAGUGGCGGACGGGUGAGGAAUACAUCGAAAUCUACUUUUUCGUGGGGGAUAACGUAGGGAAACUUACGCUAAUACCGCAUACGACCUACGGGUGAAAGCAGGGGAUCUUCGGACCUUGCGCGAUUGAAUGAGCCGAUGUCGGAUUAGCUAGUUGGCGGGGUAAAGGCCCACCAAGGCGACGAUCCGUAGCUGGUCUGAGAGGAUGAUCAGCCACACUGGAACUGAGACACGGUCCAGACUCCUACGGGAGGCAGCAGUGGGGAAUAUUGGACAAUGGGCGCAAGCCUGAUCCAGCCAUACCGCGUGGGUGAAGAAGGCCUUCGGGUUGUAAAGCCCUUUUGUUGGGAAAGAAAAGCAGCAGGUUAAUACCCCGCUGUUCUGACGGUACCCAAAGAAUAAGCACCGGCUAACUUCGUG